AGUGAACGCUGGCGGUAGGCCUAACACAUGCAAGUCGAACGGCAGCACAGUAAGAGCUUGCUCUUACGGGUGGCGAGUGGCGGACGGGUGAGGAAUACAUCGGACUCUACUUUUUCGUGGGGGAUAACGUAGGGAAACUUACGCUAAUACCGCAUACGACCUACGGGUGAAAGCAGGGGAUCUUCGGACCUUGCGCGAUUGAAUGAGCCGAUGUCGGAUUAGCUAGUUGGCGGGGUAAAGGCCCACCAAGGCGACGAUCCGUAGCGGGUCUGAGAGGAUGAUAAGCCAAACUGGAACUGAGACACGGUCCAGAAUCCUACGGGAGGCAGCAGGGGGGAAUAUUGGACAAUGGGCGCAAGGCUGAUCCAGGCAUACCGCGUGGGUGAAGAAGGCCUUCGGGUUGUAAAGACGUUUUGUUGGGAAAGAAAAGCAGCAGGUUAAUACGCCGCUGUUAUGACGGUACCCAAAGAAUAAGCACCGGCUAAAUUCGUG
rnacentral:rRNA from 1 species